UACGUAGGGUCCGAGCGUUGUCCGGAGUUACUGGGCGUAAAGGGCGCGCAGGUGGCGGUGUUGGCCCGGCGUGAAAGCCCCCGGCUCAACCGGGGAGGGUCGUCGGGGACCGCACCGCUUGAGGGCGGUAGGGGCUGGUGGAAUGCCUGGUGUAGUGGUGAAAUGCGUAGAGAUCAGGCGGAACACCCGGAGCGAAGGCGGCCAGCUGGGCCGUCCCUGACACUGAGGCGCGAAGGCGUGGGGAGCGAACGGG
rnacentral:rRNA from 1 species